GGGCUGUUAGCUCAAUGGUAGAGCAGCGGACUUUUAAUCCGACGGUUCUGGGUUCGAAUCCCAGGCGGCCCA
rnacentral:tRNA from 1 species